GGGGGCGAUAUGGCUUCGACGGGGGUGUUAUGAGGUCCGGGUCGCAUGCCGAGGUGCCGUUGGCCUCGUUAAACCACGGCAAACCAACAACUGCCGACCAAGAGUUGGCCCUCGCCGCUUAAAUAGCGACCGAGCGCCCUUCCGGGCCGCGCCCGUAGGCCCGGGUCAGGGUGUCAGAAAAUCGGGCUAGUCCGCGGCGUCGCGCCUCGGGGCAGUCGCGGGCGAAACCGAACUGAGGCUGGCGCUCCUUCGUCCCCGCCGGGGGGAUUCGAGGGGCGCGAGAUCCAAAACCCCGGCUAAGCAUGUAGAAGCCCGAGGCUGAAAACCUUCGGACGGGGGUUCGAUUCCCCCCGCCUCCACCA
rnacentral:tmRNA from 1 species